CAGAGAGGGACUGAGACCCAGGGAGAGAGGGUUAGAGACCUAGAGAGGUGGGGAAGAGAGACCCAGAGCAGGGAAAGGGGGACAGAGCAGAUGCAGAGAUGGGAAAGCUUAGCAGGCCAUGAGGUCAGAGUGUCUGUGAGGUCGGUUGCUGUCCAGAGACAGCCCUGGGGUACUGGUGCCCAGACAGAUGUCAGUAGAUUAGGAGUCCCUGUGGAUCCCCCAGCAGGAGCCAUGGAGACCUGGGAGGGACCACCCACAGUGUCCUUGGUGACCACCAAUUCCAAGGCCCCUCAGGUGAAGAUGUCGGCGCAGGAGAGCUGUCUCAGCCUCAUCAAGUACUUCCUCUUCGUUUUCAACCUCUUCUUCUUUGUCCUGGGAAGCCUGAUUUUCUGCUUCGGCAUCUGGAUACUCAUUGACAAGGCCAGCUUCGUGUCGUUUGUGGGUUUGACCUUCGUGGCCCUGCAGAUCUGGUCCAAGGUCCUGGCCAUCUCAGGAAUCCUCACCAUGGGCCUCGCCCUCCUGGGUUGUGUGGGGGCCCUCAAGGAGCUCCGCUGCCUUUUGGGUCUGUAUUUUGGGAUGCUGCUGCUCCUGUUUGCCACGCAGAUCACCCUGGGGAUCCUCAUCUCCACUCAGCGGGUCCGGGUGGAGCGAAGAGUGCAGGACAUCGUGCUAGAGGCCAUCCAAAACUACCGUGCUGAUCCGGAGGAGACAGCGGCCGAGGAGAGUUGGGACUAUGUGCAGUUCCAGCUGCGCUGCUGCGGCUGGCAUUCUCCCCAGGACUGGUUCCCGGUCCGCGUCCUGAGAGACAACGGGUCGGAGGCGCACCACGUGCCCUGCUCCUGCUACAACUCCUCGGCGGCGACCAAUGACUCCGCAGUCUUCGAUAAGAUUAUCUUCCCCCAGCUCGGCCGGUUCGGACCGCGGGCACGACCCAGGCACAGUACAGACAUCUGCGUGGUCCCUGCAAAUGGCCAUAUCUACCGCGAGGGCUGCGCACAGAGCCUCCAGAAGUGGCUGCACAACAACCUCAUCUCCAUAGUGGGCAUCUGUCUGGCCGUCGGUCUACUCGAGGUGAGUGUGAUGGUGCUGAGCUUACAGCUGCGGCGCAAAGCACCCCGCCGGGAACCCGAGCCGCAUAUGGGUCCGGGUACUUCAAGCCCUCCGCCCUGCCUUAGUGCCGACAGCGGUGGCGGUCGCUGUGGCGUCCUCACCAGCAGCGGACGUACCAGUGCUUCGUGGGGUGGAUGGGGCAUGGCCGGUGCUUGCCCCAACUGGGGGGGAAAAGUCCCGCAGGGCAAGCUUCCCAUGGCCCUGGGGCCCUGGCGGCUUUCGGAUCAAGAGGAAGAGCAACCUGAUACUGGGAGUUCUAGCGCAGAGGUGGACGUAGAAGCUGAAGUGGAGGGGGAAACAGAUGAACCUCCAGAAUAAAGGACCCUAGGCUUGCUUCCUACCUGACUCCUUCUCGGGCUCAACCCCGCCGCCUCCCCACCUGUUGACACAGGGCUUCCCCUACUCGAGCUCGGCUUCAUGACGCUCUCGAUAUUCCUGUGCAGAAACCUGGACCACGUCUACUACAACCGGCUGGCUCGAUACCGCUAGACCCCUCCCCGACCCCUUCAAGUGCCCUGGACUUGUAAAUAUUUGUUUCCCUUGAGCCCUCCACCUCCUCAUUCCCUUGGGGACCCAGAUGUCUGCCUGGCCACUGCCACCACCUCCCCCAGGGGACCUGGGGCUUCCUGCCCCACACAUGCUUCCUUUCCUUGACUCAUCUGUUGGCCUACCACCUCCCACAAGAUUAUUUUUCACUCAAACCUCAAAUAAAUCCCCUGCAUUUUGGUAAA